CACACCCCUUGAACAACCCUGUCCUUCAGAAAACUCCUCUCUGGGGCAAAGGAAAGGAAGCACUCACUGGCAGACAACAGCAACUUCAGCAUGCAAGGACCCAUAUACUGCUCCACACUUCCCUUCCCAACUUUUUUUCAAAGCAAGCCCCAAUCACUCCUCCAAAGCUUGCUGCUGGCUGGCAGUCUGAGCUUGCAGCAAUCAUAAGAAAGUUUUGUCACAUUUUUGGAAAGUCUUCUCAGUGGCUAUAAUGUCUGUAACUGUUCUGUGACAUCACAGCAACUCAGCCAGUAGCAGCAGGAGGAUGAUUACAGAAUUGAAAGAACAUGGAAAACCAGAGAUGAGAGAGGGACAAGGACACACACCGUGGCAACACUGGCUCUUUCAUAGUCCUUGCAACUUUCUGGAGAAAAACCACAACUAUUGUCUGACUCCAGUCACAAGCAGAAAUGCCAAAGGCAUUGCCCUGAACCAGGAAGGGUGAUUUACAGCAGGGAGGCAGGUGUCUGUAUGUGGGGCCUUUUUGCCGGAUUGGGAGCUGUAUGUGCACACAGUUCUCAUGGCUGGAUCUCCACAUCCAGAAGCCAGGGUUAUGUAUGCAGUUCCAUUUGACUGAUUCACAUAUGCAAUGCCAAGCAUGGUAUUGACAGGAUUGAUAAUUAGUUGGGGGUGAAGCUGCCUGAACCCAGGGCCUCUCCCCAUUCCCUAGAACAGAUAACCUGCACCAACUGACUAGGAAAUGGGCACGUGCUGCUGCACGUAACUUUAGGAACAGGUCAUUUUCCUUUUUGGUAACCAGACUCUCUUAAAUACUUAUUAUUCAAUUGUGUUCUCUGGUGUUGUUUUUU